rnacentral:rRNA from 1 species
GUGGGGAAUCUUCCGCAAUGGACGAAAGUCUGACGGAGCAACGCCGCGUGAGUGAAGAAGGUUUUCGGAUCGUAAAGCUCUUUCGUUAGGGACGAACGUGCUCUUUGUGAAUAAUGAGGAGUAAUGACGGUACCUAAAUAAGAAGCCACGGCUAACUACGUGCCAGCAGCCGCGGUAAUACGUAGGUGGCAAGCGUUGUCCGGAAUUAUUGGGCGUAAAGCGCGCGCAGGCGGGAUAUCAAGUUUGUCUUAAAAGUGCGAGGCUCAACCUCGUGAGGAGACAGAAACUGGUAUUCUUGAGUGUCGGAGAGGAAAGUGGAAUUCCAAGUGUAGCGGUGAAAUGCGUAGAGAUUUGGAAGAACACCAGUGGCGAAGGCGACUUUCUGGACGAUGUCUGACGCUGAGGCGCGAAAGCUAGGGGAGCGAACGGGAUUAGAUACCCCGGUAGUCC